rnacentral:rRNA from 1 species
UACAGAGGUCUCAAGCGUUGUUCGGAUUCAUUGGGCGUAAAGGGUGCGUAGGCGGCGCGGUAAGUCGGGUGUGAAAUCUCGGGGCUUAACUCCGAAACUGCAUUCGAUACUGCGGUGCUUGAGGACUGGAGAGGAGACUGGAAUUCAUGGUGUAGCAGUGAAAUGCGUAGAGAUCAUGAGGAAGACCAGUGGCGAAGGCGGGUCUCUGGACAGUUCCUGACACUAAGGCACGAAGGCCAGGGGAGCAAACGGG